ACGGAAGGCAGCAGUGGGGAAUAUUGCACAAUGGGGGAAACCCUGAUGCAGCGACGCCGCGUGAAGGAUUGAAGUAUUUCGGUAUGUAAACUUCUAUCAGCAGGGAAGAUAAUGACGGUACCUGACUAAGAAGCCCCGGCUAACUACGUGCCAGCAGCCGCGGUAAUACGUAGGGGGCAAGCGUUAUCCGGAUUUACUGGGUGUAAAGGGAGCGUAGGCGGCAUGGUAAGUCAGAAGUGAAAGCCCGGGGCUCAACCCCGGGACUGCUUUUGAAACUGCCAGGCUGGAUUUCAGGAGAGGUAAGCGGAAUUCCUAGUGUAGCGGUGAAAUGCGUAGAUAUUAGGAGGAACACCAGUGGCGAAGGCGGCUUACUGGACUGAUAAUGACGCUGAGGCUCGAAAGCGUGGGGAGCAAACAGGAUUAGAUACCCUGGUA
rnacentral:rRNA from 1 species